rnacentral:rRNA from 1 species
AUUGAACGCUGGCGGCAGGCCUAACACAUGCACGUCGAGCGGUUGAGGUAGCUUGCUACCGAUGCAGCGGCGAACGGGUGAGUAAUACAUGGGAAUCUGCCUGGUAGUGGGGGACAACGUCUCGAAAGGGACGCUAAUACCGCAUACGCCCUACGGGGGACAGGGGGGGAUCUUCGGACCUCUCGCUAUCAGAUGAGCCCAUGUCAGAUUAGCUAGUUGGUGGGGUAAAGGCUCACCAAGGCGACGAUCUGUAACUGGUCUGAGAGGAUGAUCAGUCACACUGGAACUGAGACACGGUCCAGACUCCUACGGGAGGCGGCAGUGGGGAAUAUUGGACAAUGGGCGCAAGCCUGAUCCAGCCAUGCCGCGUGUGUGAAGAAGGCCUUAGGGUUGUAAAGCACUUUCAGUGGGGAGAAAGGUAAUUCACCUAAUACGUGAGUUAAUUGAUGUUACCCACAGAAGAAGCACCGGCUAACUCUGUGCCAGCAGCCGCCGUAA